CAGCAUUGUAUCUGAAUUUAAACCUGCUCACAAUAACUACGUUGCCAGCAUUUAUCUUUGCUACCAGUAUUACCAUAACAACACCUUGUUAAAGAAGAAGAAGGAAGGAAGGUUGGGUUGCUAGCAUAUAUCUGUGCUACCAGUAUUACCAUAACAACACAUUGUUAAAGAAGAAGAAGAAGAAGGAAGGAAGGAAGGUUGGGUUGCUAGCAUAUAUCUGUGCUACCAGUAGACAAUUACCAUAACAACACAUUGUUAAAGAAGAAGAAGAAGAAGAAGAAGAAGAAGAAGAAGAAGAAGAAGAAGAAGAAGGAAGGAAGGAGGGAAGGGAGGAAGGAAUAUUGGGUUGCUAGGCAACUAAAGACAAGCCUCCUCGUCAUCAUCUCUUGGAUCUGUGAGUUUUGCCCCGUUCAGCUGUCGCCUGUGGACAUCCUCUCUGCAGCAUAAUGUCUUGUGCAGCCUACUUAGAUGGCAACGCAACGCCAAAGUCCAUGAGCAGAGCCAAACAAUGGACUGACGAGGUGGAGAACUUAUACAGAUUCCAACAGGCAGGCUACAGAGAUGAACUGGAAUACAAACAAGUAAAGCAAGUUGACUUGAUCGACAGGUGGCCUGAGACUGGGUUUGUGAAAAAGCUUCAGCGUCGAGACAACACAUUCUAUUACUACAACAGAAAAAGAGAAUGUGAAGACCGGGAAGUCCAUAAAGUGAAGGUCUAUGCAUAUUAAGUCAGGAGUGUCCAGCAAUCUCUUUUCCAUUUUGAAUAUCUUUUGACAUGUUUUUGAAGAAGACGUUUGUAGGAAGGAAGGCAGCACCAUCCCAGCUGUGGAAUGUUGACCAGUUCACUGAAUAAAGGGUGUGAGGCUAAAGCUGUCUGAUGUGUGUGAACCUGUGAUGGGAGGUAUGUGUGUGUUAUAAAGGGUCCUUUUGAUUAGUGUUUUGUUGUGGAUCCAGAUGAACUAUUGAACUGUGUGAGAGGGGAUUAUAGACUGGGGCUAUCACACCCUCAUCAUGUGAUAUUGUGACGUUAGUAUGAGGACUGGGAUUACCGUCAACAAAAUAAAAUACCUAAAGUCUGACCCCCUAACAGGGAUAUUCACAUACCAGUACACUAACUAUGAUUCACAUAUAUAUACCAGUACUCCCAAAUACAACAUAGAGCUGCUGAGCACAUGUUCUGCUGCAUGACAUUCAUGGUUAUUCUAUAAACAUAAAUUUCUAUAUGAAUGUUGUGUAAAGUUGCAUCCUCCUGGGUACUCCUGUGGGGGAUAUGGGGCUCAGUUAGAGUGGACUGAGAGCUGAACUGGUAUGACAGUUAACCCAACUAUUUGGGUUAAGUAUUGGUCCUGACGAAUAUACUUACAAGUCUACAAUGAUCAUUCAUAUGAUAUGAAGAUAACGACUGGAUUUUCCACUGGUGUAAAGUAUUUCAGUAAAAUUACUGGAAAGUU